rnacentral:rRNA from 1 species
UACGUAGGUGACAAGCGUUGUCCGGAUUUACUGGGCGUAAAGGGAGCGUAGGCGGACUUUUAAGUGAGAUGUGAAAUACCCGAGCUCAACUUGGGUGCUGCAUUUCAAACUGGAAGUCUAGAGUGCAGGAGAGGAGAGUGGAAUUCCUAGUGUAGCGGUGAAAUGCGUAGAGAUUAGGAAGAACACCAGUGGCGAAGGCGACUCUCUGGACUGUAACUGACGCUGAGGCUCGAAAGCGUGGGGAGCAAACAGG